GCCCAGGUUCAACAAAGCAAGGAGCGAAAGGAGCCACAUAUGGUGGCAAUAAACAAAAUAAAAUGCAAAGUAAAGUUAGCUCAUAGCCUUAUACUCCCUCCGGUCUCCGGACCGGUUUACAGGCCAGGAGAAAAUAUCGUGUAGACCAACAUAUAAGGCCAACAAAGUAAAUCUCUUCCCUGCGUGGUCGUCCUGCAUUUACCCUUGUAGGCACAUGCGCACAUGAGUGAAGUUCAAGGUGGAAAAUUAUUAAGGAGCUUAAAUUGACGUGGUGCGCUCUGCCUUGGUUACCAGAGUUUUUUUUGGCUGGCCCUCUAAACCGGCCAGGAGAAAGUAUUCCGUUAAGAGGUUUGGUUGGAGGAGGCUAUCCUUUUCUCUCUUAAGCCAAGCAUAAACCUCUAAGUAAGAAAUCGUAGGUGUUUGUUGUCUGUUAAAUAAUCUGUAUAGCCUACAUCACAUCACAUAGAAUCCCUAUUGAGAAGAUAGUUGGCUCUCUCCUACUACACCUAAAUUUCAUAACUAACUACCUGAUCAAUGGCUCCACGUCGUACGAGCUUAUUUGGUGAAAAGUGGAAUUUAAUCAAGUACAAAACAAGCAAAAUGUCGGCACACAUAUGGUAACUGAAAAGGGGUACAUACCUUGAGAUUGCCAACAAUUGAUUGAGCAUCAUGAACAGAAGGCUACAGGUUAUAUUCUGAUAGAAUAGGCAAUAAAGAAGAUACGAAAGUUGAUCUCUCUUGAUGUGCUGCCUGUAGAUUACAGAAGGUACAUUUCAGCAUUACAUCACCAAACUAAACAAAUAACAAUUCAGGAAGGUACAUUUCAGCAUUACAGAAGGUCCAUAGCAGGUGAUGGUAUCAUAAUUUUUUAAAGCAACUCUAGACUGUUGUCUUUCAUCAAAAUCAAAUUUAUGUACGAACACACCACACAAAUAAGAUGGAUGCUCGAGUAGAACUGAAGUAUACUAAUGUUCCAACAGAAAGAAUGCUCUCUACUUGAUAGAAAUAGUCAUGAAUCUUUUCACAUAAGUAGGAACAAGCCACUAAACUGUGCAUAGGGGAGUGUACUGUUAACAAUAUGGAUUCCCAAACUGCUGCUAAUGCGGUGAACAGUAGAAAAAGGAAAUGACUCUUUUCUCUACCAGAGAUUUUUUUUAUCCUUUCUCUUUUGCUUCUUUCCUCCGUUUUACUCACAACUGAACCACAAUGUAACUGAACUGCAACCCCCCAAGCCCAAUUUUCAGUCUCACACAGGAGCGGGUCAUCAGAAAUAUUACAAAACAACACAACAAUCGUAGUAGCAGUAGCAAGCAACAUUCCAUGCACUCAGUUUUCUCCAUCAAGUGGACAUCAUAUCCCUGCUACACCCGCUCCCCCAAGCUCAUCUGUACACUGCAUCCCUGUGAUCUCUCAGUCCUCUCUGCUCUCUCACGCAACUUACACAGCAGCAAGCAAGCCUCUCUAGCUUUCCCCAAUCCAAACAAAUAGCAGCAGAAGGCAAACAAACAUCAACAACUGGGUAGAUGGAUCUUGUGGCUCGCGGGUGGACGGACUGACCGGUGAAAUACUAAUUAAACUGUACGUAUCAAUGGCCUGCUAUUCUAUGUAGCAAUGCUGAUCAAACAUGUGUAUCAAUGAAUAAUGCAACGACCACGAGAGUUAUACCUAGAAAUCACGCACCAAUUCCUAACUAAGUUAUGAAAAGCUAACUAUUGAACUCCUCGGGUACAAGUAAGUCCUUUAUUAUGAACUAACAUCAGAUUGUAAAGAUGGUUCUAGGGUUAUUCUUACAGUUCUGCUUUAUAGAAAAUUAUCUCACAAACAUGGAAAUUCCCUUGAACAGUAGCCACUUAAAGCUAGGUAGAUAUCAAAACCAAAAAAUUAAAGCCAUACACACUAAAAAAAUAUGCACUCACAUUCCGAAGCUGGUCGAUGAUAGUAAAUUAAACAUUAGUCGUUAGACUAAUGAUAUCAUUAGUUUCUUGCUCUCAUACUUCUAUCUCAGCGAAUCCACUUGAGUAAAGAACUGCCAAACAAAAGUUGCAUCCAAAAAUUCAACACUACCACAACUAUCAAAUCAAACCAGUCCAGGUUCUUGUGAAGCCAGGAAUGUACACGGAGGAUUACUACCUCGAUGAACAAACUCUUAUCCUUGGUUGCCCCCGUCUUGACCCGGAGCAUGUUGUCGGUCGAGUGCGGCAUCCCCACAUCGUCUAGCGUCACCCUUCUUUGAUCGGCGACGGCCAGCGACAUCCAUACAACCGUCAGUGCACAAAGUCAAUUCUUUCAUUCUUCCGCACAUACAAGAAUCUGCAAGCAAGUUGAUGUUAUUCAAAAAUCAGAAGCUCACUUUUAUUCAUCCAACAACAACAUGUCACUUCAUUGGUGCAACAAUAGCAACACAGAGCAGCUUUGUGACAAGGAUGUGAAAAUAAAAUAAGAAAGAUAGAGAGAGAGGGGAUGACAACCUUGUUGCUGGAGGGGAUGAUAACCAUUGCGGCAUGGGUGUCGGCACAGAGAGCGGCGGCAGGACGGCGUCGACCAAAGACUUGAACGAACUAGCUAUGGGCCUUAGUAUGGGCAUACACCUACAUAUGCCCUGUUGAAAAUAGACUGAACUCCUGCUCACGUUAUCAUCUACAGAGUUGCCGUAAACUAAACUCCUUCUGCACAUAUCAUCAUCUCCAGAAUUUCCUCGAAUUGUACAUCUAACCACUAACUUAUAUAUUACGAAUUGUAGUUUGUAGAUUCUAUCUCGAAACAGAUGAUGAAUUGAAUGAAAAGUUUAAUUUAUCUAAUCUCCGUACCUUUCAAUGUCAUAUUCCCUGGUGAAAAGAACCAAUAUGUAUAACCCAUCCAUCCUACUUGAACAGCUAGCAUAGUAGCGGUACAAUACAUAAAACCAGUGGAAUUUGCACUAUUUAAAUUAGUGUUGAACAAGAAGAAGCCAUGGCAAGCGGUAAUAACUUACAAAAGCAUGUUAUUAUAUACGUAAUAAAUAAUCCAAGAGAUCAAGUAAAAAGAAUGCAAACAAGCUCUUUGCCUGUUCUUCCAUUGAUUUGUCUGUUCUGAAUAGUGCAAAUAGGAGGGCAUCAGUAGCAGUAUUAGUAAUAGAUUAGAGUUGUCUGUUCUGAACUUAUGAUAGUAAGCCGCCUCUUCUGUUUUUGUCGCACAAGGAGAAAUAAAUAGAAUUGGAAAAUACAAGUAGCAACGAGAACAAAAGGCUGGGAAAUUACCGCUUGCAUCGCCCACCCCUUGGCCUGCGAUGAGCCUGUGACCAUAGGACCAUGCCUGUGCUGCCCGGACUCCCUACCGGCGUCCGGUUCCUCUUCUUUCAUCCCACGCGACAGCUAUGUGUACAUCCACGCUAAGAACCCCAACAUCACUAUCCUCGAUUGCUCCCUCUCCCCAUUCCAUCCAUCGGCUAUCCGCGCGGUGUCUACUGUUGUCGCUUGCAUGACCUGUGCAUCCAUGGCGGUGGCGGUGUGGUCCGAGGUCGAUGGUUGCGUCCCCGAGAAGAAGCGUCGAGGCGGCUGUCGUGUGGCUCGAGGACGAGGGGGGCGUCCUUGGGGAGGAGGUCGUGGGGACCGAAGGGGCGGGGAAGGAGCGACGCCAGCGUGCGCCACUCGGCCGCGCAGCCGUCGGCGGCGUCGGAGGUCACCAGGAUGCGGAUCCCGGCGGCACCGCGGAUCUCCUGUAGGAACUGGCGGCAGUGGUCGCAGGGCAUGUGGGAGACGGCGAUGAUGCGGAGCACGGGCUCCCCGACGGCAGCGACGUUUGCGAUGAGGAACUGCUCGGCGUGGACCGCCUGGGAGAGAGGGGCGCCGAGGAAAUCGAGGUUCACGCCAACGUAGACGCGUCCGCUCUCGCCAAGCCCAACGGCGCCGACUGGGAACCGCGAGAUCGGGGGGCGCACCCGAUGCAUCGCCGAAGGGAUCAGCAGAUCCUCCAUUCCUCCACCGUCACUACCCCGGCUGUUGCGGCCGCGUGCUCCGCCUCAGCCUCGACGGCGGGCGGCGGCGGAGAUUUUUCUCAUGAGAUCGAGAGAGAGGACGGAUCUGGGGCGAGAGGUGGGGGAGACUGGGAGAGGGACGUGCGACGUGGGAGGAGGAGGUCGACGAAGUUUUUUUUUUCUUUCUUACCGUUUUUCUUUACGUGGGCGUGGGAAGAGGAGGUCGAACCAUCGCGACGACGACAAAUCCCCCUUUAAUAGUAGAGAUGCAUGCAUACUCUAUUUUUAUAAAUACUUUUUAGAUACCGAGCCGACACAUUAUUUUGAAGUUAGCGAAAUCUUCAUAGAAAUCUUCGUAGUCAUCGAAAACAGUUUUUUUCAGUGAACACACAUCACUCAAAAACAUGACCACAUAUGUCAAACAUGGGGCAUAAAUCCUAGUGAAUUGGUUCCACCGAAUAUUUAAACUACGCUCCGCAUGUAUCUUGACCACCACUCGACACAGAAAAUGGUACACCACCGACCAACCGCCUACAACCUCCAACCAACGAGGGCCAAUGCUACUACCUAGUUCCCUCUACACCAUAUAAGUUGAAAGUGUGUGUGGCAUUGUUCCCUCUGCAUCAUAUUUGUUGUAUCCACAUGUAUUAGAUCUUCGUCCGCUUUAUGCUAGACUAAUUAGUUAUAUCAGGACCACACACGUAGUCACAUACACGGUACACCAUGCGCGUGUUUGGUUUCCUGAGCCGAGUUUCUCCCUCAUCGCACCCAAUCCUUUCGGCGAGCGCAGUCGAGUCUCAUCGUCGGCAUCUCCUACCUGCUGCCCAUCUACGCCCCAGCCAACUUGCCGUCCUCCACCUCGUCAUCAGAUUAAUCUUCGAUGCUGCCUUCUUUAGAUGGAUCAAGAGGUUUUCGUUGGUUUGAGUUUUUUCUUUGAUAAAUAAAAGAGUCAAUUACAUAUGUACAUCAUAGAACUUGGCGUGAAUGGUCAUUUUACUGCUAUAAGUUAUGAUCAAUGGUGGAGGUAGAGGGUGGCUAGGAUGGGCCUUGGCCCACCCUGAGAUUUAAAAAUAACAUUUAUAUCAUAGGAGAAAGGCUAAAAAAUAAUUAAAUGUAUAUAUAAAAUAUCACUGCUGGCCCAUCUGACCCAAUGGACUCGGUCGACCACUAGUCAUGGUGUACAUUGAGCGUGGCCUGUUGCCACCUGUCAGUAACCGGAUGAUGGGCUCGGCAUGUAAAAAAACAGCUUAUAAUUGUUCAACAAAAAUAACGCUAGGAGGCCCACGUGUUAGAAAUAACGUAAAUCGCAUUGAAAAAAAAUAAUGACCAUCAGGCUUCGAACCUAGAAACCGCUGGUAACAUGUGUGCGCACAUAACCAAACCGGCCAAUGUGACAUUACGUGCACAAGUGGGGUAGAUGAAUUCUACUCCCUCCGUUACUAAAUACAAAUCUUUCUAGAGAUUUCACUACGAACUACACACGGAACAAAAUUAGGGAAUUCAUAUUCUAAAAUAUGUUCAUAUGCAUCCGUAUAUGAUCCGUAGUGAAAUCUUUAAAAAUGCUUAUAUUUAGAAACUGAGGGGUAUAUCCUUUGCUAACACUGUAAUUUAUUAUUUUUAACUCAUCAAAUGAAAAAAGUACCCAAAGGGCUCGAACCAGCGACCUGAAGAUCUCAGGAAUGCGAGAUUAACUAUAAGAGCCUCCAAAAUUUGUUUGCUAAAUAGGCUAUUGUAUUGCGAUCACUUAUAUGUAUAUUCCUUAGACAAUAUGAUUUUUGACUUGUAAGUGUCGCACAUGAUUUUUCGUAAAUCAUAAGUUUUUUCUUUCCUAAAGUUUAUAAACAUUUUCAAAAGUGCAAAAAUGUUAUAUGAUGCAUGAAUAUUUAAUUAAAAACAUAAAUGCAUAAAAUUAUACAAAUAAUUAUCUACAUAUAUAUAAAUAAAUGUUCAUAUAAUUCAAAGAAUGUCAAUUGAGUUUUAGAACAUUAAUAUUUUAUUGAAAAUGACAUGGGUCACCUUGGGUAUGAGCUUUAUCUUUAUUAGUAUUCUUGUUUCUGGGACAACUUAUUUUCAUUUAUUCUUUUCAAUAUAUUUAACCUUUAUAUAAAUACAUUUUUCUAAAUUUUAUGAAUAUUUAUUUAAAUAUAUUUUAAUUGGGUUAAAUAUAUUUAAAUAAAUGUUCGUAUUAUUUGAAUUAAUAAUUUUACUAAACUAUUAAUCCAAUAAAUAAAACGUUCAGGAUUUUGGAAUCUGAUUAUAUACUUUUAGGAAACAAGAUAUUUAUGCUUCAUGGAAAAGAUGUGCACAAUUAUAAGAAAAAUGUUAUUUUCCCCUAAAGAAUGGAGAUGCGGCCUCAAUAUAAAAAAAACAUUAGCCUAUGUAUAUUUUGUUUUAAGCAAAAUUAGCCAAUGUAUAAGAAAUGAUCUUCGUCGGGUGUUGGUUUGCGCUAUCGGGAUAGGAGGUCGCUGGUUUGACUGCUGGACCCUUUUCAUCCGAGUUUAGAGUUUUGAUUUAUGUUGUUAGGCCAAACUGGUAUAUAAAAUAUUUAUUCUUGUAGAUCACCAAAUGUCAUCAGGCCUGAUGGUUAAUCGCCAAUUGGGUCACACCUUUUUCAUUUGUGUCCAAAUAUAAUAAUUUACGUUGUUAAUCUAAAGAAUAUCUAACUUACUGAUCCCACAUCAACAAAAAUGUCGUAGGUUGUUUCGGUAAGGAAUGCUUUAAAACAUUUGGUAGUUUUUUCUUUUAAUGUGAUUUGUGUUGUUUCUAGCAGGUGGGCCUCCUAGUGUUAUUUUGUGCGAAAACUUUAAAAAACUUUUUUUUGGCAAAAAGAGCAGGCCAUACAACGUGUCCCCAUCGCCUGGUUACUGAUAACGGGCACCAUGCCUGUUGGCACGCCUAGUCAACACCAAGGAUGUAUAAAAACGAGUCUUGCAUCGUAUUUGCAUCACAAAGUCAAGUUUCCGCACCACUUCAAUAUGCACACCACAACUUGUAGCACUGAGGUGACCAUUCAUGCCAAGUUCUAGAACUAGUGAUGUAAUUGACUCUAAAUAAAACUGAAACUUGAGUUUGGUUCAGAUUUGUUUUACAUGUUCUCUUUGCACAUGAAAUGGUCCAGAUUCAUUUGAAGUGAUUCAAAUUAGAAAAGAGAAAAGUUCACAGAAUUAAGCGUAAUCUGUUAGAUAUAUAGCAUUCUUGGUGCAUCAAUAUCAUGCAGCCCAUCAAACAUACAUGUCAGCUCCUCUUUGCAUCAGCUCAACUAAUUAAGACAUGCUCAUCUAGAGCCACCCAGGCAAUCAAACACGCCCCAUAUGUAAGCCGUAGCAGCUGGAGUACCCUACCCCACACGCAAAGCAGUCGCAUGUCCUUUCUCAAAGUUUUGGCUGGUUUUCAUGAGCAUCGAGACCUUUUCUCUUCCCUUAAUUUGCAAGGCGACAUACACCAUCUCUCUUCGAGGGAGUCGUUGAACGAGUGAAUUGUAAGCAUAUAUAGUUAAUGAGGAGGUGGCUAAGCCAGCUACAGUCGGCCAGCCGCUGCCGCCGAAAGCUACAGCGCAUCAUGCGUGCAUGCAUGCACAUGCAUGCACGAGCACAGCGCUCGGCUAGCUCUUUUUCCCUUCUGAUGCGUGAGUGGUAACCUAAUUAUCGAUGGAUAACGAUGGGAUGCCCGCGUGCUGCAAAGGUGCAUGCAUGGCCUGACCUUUAGCAAUUAAUUUCGACCUGUACGUAAGACCCAACCUAUCUUGCUAGUAGGAGUAGGUGACAGAGCCUGUGGAAUUGAAAGUAGCCAACUGCGAGCUCGACCGGCUGCUUAGAGCAUGGUUAAUAGUAUAGACAACUGCUGGAUAUAAGAGCAACUCUAGCAGACCUCGUAUCCCGCAUCGACCCGUAAAAUAAUCGUUAAAAUACGGGUCGGGGCGGAAGAACCAGUACGAUCAGACCGCGCAUCCCGCCUCGGCCCGCAAAUUUUUUUAGGGGGCGCGGUAAAAUCCCGACCCCAAUUCGAGAAAACGCGGGUUUUCCCCUCGUGGCUAUGGUGCCCUGCUUAUAAGCGGAAGCGGUUGGUGGGGGGACAUUUCAUCCCGCGCUUUCUCCCACCAACCACCUUUCCUCUCCCCCCUCGCGCCGUCGCCGGCCGUCGCCCAAGAUUCCGGCGACAGCAGCCGGCAGGAGCACGCCGGAAGGCCGCCACACGCACGAGGCCUCCCCUACCUUCCCCCUGCGUCGGCAGGCCGCCGGAUUUGCAGAUCUGCGGCACUUCAUCGCGGGUCGCCGAAUUUGGCUUUUUCCGGUCGCCGGUUGCUGCCCCCACGCGAUCGAGUGGUCGGGGAGCCUCUCCCGCAGCCCAGGCAAGGGCGCAUCGCCGCAUGCAGACACGGGUUCGUUCGCCCGCCGCCGUCGAAGGUUUGUGGACAUGGACUCGUCCGGCCGUCCACCGGGCUCGACGCUCGCGCAGCGUAUUUGUGGCAUGCCGAUGCCGCUCAUAAAGUGCGACGACUGCCGGCGCCAAGUGCUGUGGCUCACUUCGGGCACGCGGACGCACCCCGGAUGGGUUCUACAAAUGCGAAAACGACGGGGUACGUGCACUUGCGGUAGCUCGUUCCAUAGCUCAUUCUUUAGUUCAAUUGUGGUAGCUCACUUCGAGCUUGCUCAUUCUUUUGUGUAGGACGAUGGAUGCUCAUUUUGGUUUUGAGAAGGCCAAUACAUUGAUUUGUUGAUAAAAAAAACUUAAUAGAUGUUAGUGCACUCCUUAGUACAAUCGAAGCCAAUGAUGCGGUUGCAUGUGCAACUAGAGGGGAAGCAACGUCUACUUCUUUGGAACCAAAGAUGAAGAAUGAAGAAAGCAAGAUCAAGAAUCCGCAGAUCAACAAUGAGUGCAUGGAGAAGAUAUUGCUUCAACUAGUGGGAGCAAUUAUGGAAGUUGGAAAUCUUGUGAAAUGCAUACUUGUGGUUCUUGUUUUCUUUGGUUUUGCUAUUCUAGCCAAGAUUUGGUGAUAUCUUUUGUAUCUAUAAUGUUGUUGCAAAAGUAAAGAAAAGCAUUGUGCUAGAUCAAUUUAAGUUGCAAAUAUAAGUUUUACGGACCGGGAGGAGCUGCGUGAGAUCAGAACCCGCAGAAGCCGACCCGUAAAAAAACUAUAUUCUGUGAAUAUGCUUUUUUACGGAUCCAUUAUGCGGGGUCUGCAUCCGUGCCAGCCUGCGCUGGCCCGCAAAAGCGGUUUUGCGCGAACUGCAAACGCGUUUUACGGACCGGACGGAUGCGGGGUAUGCUAGAGUUGCUCUAAGCAGUCUUAGAGCAAGUACAAUAAGGUAUAGUCAGCAGGUUGUAAGGAUUAAAAUACUAUAUUUUUGCUGAGUUGGAUGAGAAAGGAGAGAAGAGAGAAGGGAAGCGGACUCUUCGUGAAGAGCUAGCUCUAUCACGUACUCCUAGGUGCUUUGUGAGAAUGAAAGGUGUGCCAUAUAUGAUAAAAAUAAUACUCUUUUAUAGUUAACUAUUGUACAAGCUAGCUAUAAGAUGGUUAUAGCCAGCAGUUGGCUAUACUAUUAACCAUGCUCUUAUAACCCAUCUUAUAGCUAGCUUGUACAAUAAUUAGCUAUAAAAGAGUACUACUUUUAUCAUAUGGCUUAUCUUUCAUUCUCACAAAGCACCUAGGAGCACGUGCUAGAGCUGACUCUUCCCGAAGAGCCGGCUUCCCUUCUCUCUUCUCUUGUCUCUCAUCCAACUCAGCAAAAAUAUAGUAUUUUCAUCCUUAUACCCUGCUGACUGUACCUUAUUGUACUUGCUCUUAAGAGCAUCUCCAACACCUCCCCAACGCGCUAAAAAUGAGUUUACGACGCGUCCUUCGUCUGUUUUGGUCGCGACGACCAGCGCUGGUUCCAGCGACCGCUGUAAAAUGCAGCGCGCGCGUAGCUCCAGCAGGUGUGCUAAAAUGCAGCGCGCGCUAUCGUUCAAACAACAUAUGCGCUCAAAACAUAAGUAAAAAAAUUCAAAUACAAAUAAAAUAAAUCAAUAAAAAUAGUUUAAUUUCGUUAACUCAAACAAAUAGUUUAUUACAACUCAAACAAAUAGUUUAUCUUGUAAUACAACAAAUAGUUCAACAAUACAACAUCAAAUGCACAAAUCAUGAUGCUCUUUGUCGGCCAUUCCAUUCUCAUCAUUUUUUAUGAGAUCCUUCUGAAGAUCAACAUGCGUUUCGGGACGCCAAGUGACAUGAUAAGAGGCAACAAAACGGGCCACCCUUUCAGCCCUCCGCGCUCACUCGCACGGGAUGUCCCAAGAACUCAUACUGAGAGUAGUCUAAAUCUUGGUCACGCUCAUUCUCGAUGAUCAUGUUGUGCAUGAUCACACAAGCAUACAUGAUGUACCAAAGCAUCUUUUGAUCCCAAAAUCUAGCCGGUCCUCUUACAAUAGCAAAUUGGGCUUGCAAAAUCCCAAAAGCUCUCUCCACAUCUUUUCUAGCCGCCGCCUGAGCAUUAUGGAAACCAAGAUUUUUCUUAUUUUCCGGUUUUUUCAACGACUUUACAAAUGUUUGCCACUUUGGCUAGAUUUCGUCCGCAAGAUAGUAGCCAUAGUUGUAUGUACGACCAUUUGCUAUAAACUGCAUCGGUGUCAGUUUCCCAUUUGCAAUCUUAUUCAUCAGUGGUGUCUGAUUGACAACGUUGAUGUCAUUCAAAGAUCCAGGCAUUCCAAAAAAGGCAUGCCAAAUCCAAGUCUCUUGAUCGGCCACCACUUCAAGGAUUAUAGUGGAACCCAUUUUUUGGCCGUGGAAUUGCCCAUGCCAUGCCUUAGGACAAUUCUUCCAACUCCAAUGCAUGCAAUCUAUUGAGCCAAGCAUACGUGGGAAGCCACGAGCUUUGUUCAUUUUCAAUAGCCUUGCGAUGUCUUCAACAUUGGGAGAUAUCAAAUACUCCUGGUCAAACACUUGCACAAUUCCGACUUCGAAACGCUUGACACACAUGAUGGCUUGACUCUCAUCCAUGGCCAAGUGAUCAUCAACUAGAUCAGCGGGGAUACCGUAUGCCAACAUACGCAAAGCGGGUGUCACCUUCUGAAAGGUGCUAUGCCCGAGCUCUCUGGAGGCAUUCCUUAUUUGCUGAAAAAAAUCGGUCAUGGCUUGCUAGUUUCUCUGCAAUGCGCCUGAACAAUUCGGUGCCCAUCCUAAACCGACGCCGGAAGUACGACUCGGGAUACACGGGAUUAUCCGCAAAAUAGUGCCUAAUCAAUCUAUUGUGGGCAUCGAUCCUAUCCCUCCAAAUUUUCUAUCGACCCAUAACCGAUCACUGUGCUUUGAUUUUUUAUUGAUGUGCAUAGCUAGGAUCAUUGCAAGAUCCUCCUCCUCUUCCAUAUCAAAUUCUUCUUCGUAGAAUUAUAUGAGGAACUGAUCUACAAUGUUUAAUUUAAACUAAGCUAUAAAAACUACAAACAACAUGCAUCAAAUUCAUGUAAAAAAUGUGUAGUUGAAUCAAAUACAUACCUUGCGGACGUUUUAUCGAACACCUUGCGGGCGUCGAGUGACAGUGGACGGCCAGGCGCUCUUGCCGGAUGACUGCCGCGCGCGAGGGGCGACGGUGACUCUGGAGGAAGCAGCAACGGCGCAAGGAUAGGACGGGGAAACGCCGGAACGAUCGCCGGAAGAAAUGGGAUGGCGCGGGCGAUGACGGCGCCGCGACUCGAUGGGGUAUGUGGAGUUGCGAGCGAGAGCUCGAGUAUGCAGCGUGCGGGAGCAGACGCAGCAAAUAAACGACGCGUAAUAAUGUUUUCGUCCGCGUGCUGACCUGAUUUUGCCGCGCGCGCGCGUGGUUUUUAAGCCUGUGCGAGAGCGUGAGGAGCGGAAGCGCGCAAAAAACAUAUUUUUCAGCGGGAGCAGGCAUAACUCUGUCUUUGCUCGCUCCUAACUCUGUCUUUGCUGCACAAUUGCUUGGUUUUAGAACUGGCAGAGCCAUCGUAGCUAGGGAGUAUUGUCAAGCAGCCAUUGCUGCAUUUGGUAGAAUAUUUUAAGAGGUGCUACGUCGACUAGUUCGAUGCAAAGUUUAGGAUCAUUCCUGUGACAGAGCAGAGUGGAAAUUAACAUGCCAAAGUGUAAGAACUGCUCCAACUCAAAAAAGAAAAGUAUAAGAAUCGAAGUACGCGUGUACCAAACGACUUGACGAGUCUAGGAAGACCCGGUCCAGGCAUGCAUGCACCACGGGCCAUUUCUUCUUUGGACCAGGCACUCAAUACGCACGCUUCUCGAACUCCUCGUCCGACUCCCACGUGUAAUUAAGUGAAGGUGCGGGUUUUUUAUUUGUCGGUAUGUAUAAUUAUUUUUAUAUGUUAGAUCAUUUGAGGUGGGGUCGCGUGCUACGGCCAGACUUACCUAGCGCGUCCGUGAGUCCUCAUAUUCUGUUUACAUUUGUCCGCAGUAUGAGGAUUCACGAACAAUUCGGAUGUACAGGGAUGAUACAAAGGAUUCAAUCGGAUCACUUUUUUUUGUCUGGUCACUGAUCAGACGCAUCACGGACGUAUGAGAUGUCGUUUGAGCCUUUAAGGGCGUCAGGUUGUAGAUGCUGUGUCAUCCAUAUUGUCUUGUUUUUUCCUAGCAUCCAUGUUGUCUUGUUGGUUCUCUACUUAAUUUUCACAAUUGCUUAUCUCCUCUAAUGAAAAAACGCGGAGCGCUUUUGUCGUCCGUCGUGGCGUUUUUGCAAAAAAGCUCCUGAAGUUUUGUGUAUUCAACCCGCACUCCCCUUUUAAGUGAAAAAACGUUUUGUUUUAGAAAUUUGCGUUAGAAACCCUGCAUUUUUUUGAAUUCACCCGCGGUCGUCCUCCUCUGCCCAAACUGGUGCUGCUCGAUGCCCGCGAAGCAACAGUGAGGCCGACGGGAUCCAUGCCAGGGAAUUUCGUCUCCAUCCAUGGAGCACGGCAGCUACUAGCCCUACCUCACCUCCCUGCCGGGGCCCCAUCCCCGCCGUUCCCGGCCAGCACGUCCCCAGCGCCGCCCUCCUUCCUGGCUUCCCUCGCCUGCCUCUGAAUCGCCCAGGCCGCGAAGCAGCAGCGAGGCCGACGGGACCGAUGCAAGGGGAUUUCGUCUCCAUCCAUGGAGCACGGCAGCUGCUCACCCUACCUCGCCUCCCUCCCGGUGCCCCAUCCCUGCCGUUCCCGGCCAGCAGGUCCCCAGCGCCGCCCUCCUUCCUGGCUUCCCUCGCCCGCCUCUGAAUUGUUGGAAUUAUGUCCUAGAAGCAAUGAUAAAUAAGUUAUUAUUAUAAUUCCUGUAUCAAGAUAAUCGUUUAUUAUCUAUGCUAUAAUUGUAUUGAAUGAAAACUUAGAUACAUGUGUGGAUAAAUAGACAAAACACUGUCCCUAGCAAGCCUCUAGUUGGCUAGCGAGUUGAUCAAGGAUAGUCAGGGUCUUCUGACUAUGUACAAGGUGUUGUUGCUUGAUAACUGGAUCACAUCAUUGGGAGAAUCAUGUGAUGGACUAGACCCAAACUAAUAGACGUAGCAUGUUGAUCGUGUCAUUUUGUUGCUACUGUUUUCUGCGUGUCAAGUAUUUAUUCCUAUGACCAUGAGAUCAUAUAACUCACUGACACCGGAGGAAUGCUUUUUGUGUAUCAAACGUCGCAACGUAACCGAGUGACUAUAAAGAUGCUCUACAGGUAUCUCCGAAGGUGUUCGUUGAGUUAGUAUGGAUCAAGAGUGGGAUUUGUCACUCCGUGUGACGGACAGGUAUCUCGGGGCCCACUCGGUAAUACAACAUCACACACAAGCCUUGCAAGCAAUGUGACUUAGUGUAAGUUGCGGGAUCUUGUAUUACGGAACGAGUAAAGAGACUUGCCGGUAAACGAGAUUGAAAUAGGUAUGCGGAUAUUGACGAUCGAAUCUCGGGCAAGUAACAUACCGAAGGACAAAGGGAAUGACAUACGAGAUUAUAUGAAUCCUUGGCACUGAGGUUCAAACGAUAAGAUCUUCGUAGAAUAUGUAGGAUCCAAUAUGGGCAUCCAGGUCCCGCUAUUGGAUAUUGACCGAGGAGUCCCUCGGGUCAUGUCUACAAAGUUCUCGAACCCGCAGGGUCUGCAAACUUAAGGUUUGACGUUGUUUUAUGCGUAUUUGAGUUAUAUGGUUGGUUACCGAAUGUUGUUCGGAGUCCCGGAUGAGAUCACGGACGUAACGAGGGUUUCCGGAAUGGUUCGAAGACGAAGAUUGAUAUAUAGGAUGACAUCAUUUGAUUACCGGAAGGUUUUCGGAAUUACCGGUAAUGUACCGGGAAUGACGAAUGGGUUCCGGAUGUUCAUUGGGGAGGGGGGCAGCCCACCCCGGGGAAGCCCAUAGGCCUUAGGGGUGCCGCACCAGCCCUUAGUGGGCUGGUGGGCAAGCCCAAAGAGGCCCCUGCGCAGGAGAUAAGAAAAUCAAAGAGAAAAGAAAAAAAAGGAAAGUGGGAAGGAAGGGAAGGACUCCACCUUCCAAUCCUAGUUGGACUAGGAUUGGAGGAGGACUCCUCCUCCCCCCCUUCGACAGAACCCCUUGGGGCUCCUUGAGCCCCAAGGCAAGGCUCCUCCCCUCCCCCCUAUAUAUACAAAGGUUUUAGGGCUGAUUUGAGACAACUUUUCCACGGCAGCCUGACCACAUACCUCCACGGUUUUUCCUCUAGAUCGCGUUUGUGCGGAGCUCGGGCGGGGCCAUGCUGAGAUUAGAUGACCACCAACCUCCGGAGCACCGUCACGCUGCCGGAGAACUGAUCCACCUCUCCGUCUCUCUUGUUGGAUCAAGAAGGUCGAGAUCAUCGUCGAGCUGUACGUGUGCUGAACGCGAAGGUGUCGUCCGUUCGACACUAGAUCGGAGCGGAUCGUGGGACGGAUCGCGGGACGGUUCGUGGGACGGUUCACGGAGCGGAUCGAGGGACGUGAGGACGUUCCACUACAUCAACCGCAUUUAGUAACGCUUCUGCUGUGCGAUCUACAAGGGUACGUAGAUCUGAAAUCCCCCUUGUAGAUGGACAUCACCAUGAUAGGUCUUCGUGCGCGUAGGAUUUUUUUUG
rnacentral:lncRNA from 1 species